rnacentral:piRNA from 1 species
UGGCGACAAAGCACCAAGGAUGGACUG